GGGCCUGGUGAGGUUUCCCGUGAUGAGUCAAAUUAAGCCGCAGGCUCCACUCCUGGUGGUGCCCUUCCGUCAAUUCCUUUAAUUUUCAGCUUUGCUACCAUACUCCCCUGGAACCCAAAGACUCGUGGUUUCCCGCACGCUGCCCGGUGGGUCAUGGGAAUAAUGCCGCCGGAUCGAGGGUCGGCAUCGUUUAUGGUCAGAACUAUAACGGUAUCUGAUCGUCUUCGAACCUCCGACUUUCGUUCUUGAUUAAUGAAAACAUUCUUGACAAAUGCUUUCGCUUUCGUCCAUUUUGAGACGGUCCAAAAAUUUAA